UACGUAGGGGGCUAGCGUUAUCCGGAAUUACUGGGCGUAAAGGGUGCGUAGGUGGUUUCUUAAGUCAGAGGUGAAAGGCUACGGCUCAACCGUAGUAAGCCUUUGAAACUGAGAAACUUGAGUGCAGGAGAGGAGAGUAGAAUUCCUAGUGUAGCGGUGAAAUGCGUAGAUAUUAGGAGGAAUACCAGUUGCGAAGGCGGCUCUCUGGACUGUAACUGACACUGAGGCACGAAAGCGUGGGGAGCAAACAGGAUUAGAUACCCACGUAGUCCCUGA
rnacentral:rRNA from 1 species